rnacentral:lncRNA from 10 species
GCUAUGUUACAUUGAAUGGCAAAAGUGACUUUGUAGAGCAGACAGUUGGCUUAGCAACUCUGAGUGGUGGGCUCAACAGAAGAACAAGCUGAUAGAAGUCCUUGGGCUCUGAGGCUCCAUUCUAAUCAAAGUACUUCUCCAACCAGAGGACUUCCAUUGAUCAAUAGCCACUCAGAUGUUCUGUGUUUGCCAUGAGUAUCGGACUUCAGUCUUCUGGAAAGAUGGCUGUGGUGCCUAAACACAUCUGUGCCUGGCCUCACCCGCGGGACUUCGGACAUUUCACUUAAUGCUGAAAAUUCACUCUACUGCCACUACUCAGGACUUCUGAUGGGCAUGAAAAUCCAAGCCUGCUUUAUGAUAUUAACCUCUGAAUUUCAUAAACCGCUUAAAACUUUAGAAUGUCCAGAAAACACUGGUAGAAUACGGACACAUGAGACAAGGCCAGAAAGGAAGUCAAUAAAAUGUGAUUACUAAGCAAAUUACCACCAGAGAAGCAGAAGGAAAUCCCUCUUCAAUAUUUUGAGAGACAGUAAAGAACAUUCCCUGGAGUUAGGACAAAUGAAGAGCAAGAAGUUUCAUCUUGCUCUGUCAUCCAGGCUGGAGUGCAGGGGCACCAUCUCGGCUCACUGAAACCUCCACUUCCCGGGUUCAAGCGAUUCUCCUGCCUCAGCCUCCUGAGUAACUGGGGUUACAGAGUGAAUAGACAACCUACAGAAUGGGAGAAAAUACUUGCAAGCUAUGUAUCCAACAAAGGACUAAUAUCGAGAAUUUACAAGGAACUCAAACAAAACUCAACAAGAGUAAAACAACCCCAAUAAAAAGGAAAGUGAACACAUUUGGAAAUAUUGGCUCAGCAUUGCAGCUAUACCCUUUAGACAGGAAACACACUUUCCAGUUCUCCUUGACAGAGAGGCUGAAGGUCAACUGAUGGUCCAGAAUAUUGCUGGAGCUCCAGCCAUCAUUUCUGAAUGCCAAGAAACAGAAAUGGGGAAAAGCUUGACUGCAAAAGGAUCCUCUUAUCAGCUAAGCCAGCUUACUUUCCACAGAUGUCUUGGAAAUCUUUCACAACACUUUUAUUUUUGUCUCAGUGACCAGCUCUUGCCAUGUGGUCACACCUGGAUGAAGGACAAAGAAGUACAGCCUUUUGGCUAGGCACAUUUCUGCUCUGAAUAAAAUUUGGACUAAAGAAGAGAAAGCAAAUGUAUAUUUACUUUUGUGAAAUACUUUUGGAAAGUAGUAGUCCUGCCACAACCUUUUUUAAUUCACCAUAUCUGUGCUUGUCAUUACAAAAAGGAGCUAUUUUGAC